rnacentral:rRNA from 1 species
GAUGAACGCUAGCGGCAGGCCUAAUACAUGCAAGUCGAACGAUAGUGAGAAGCUUGCUUCUCACGAAAGUGGCGCACGGGUGCGUAACGCGUAUGCAACCUACCUUAAUCAGGGGGAUAGCCCGAAGAAAUUCGGAUUAACACCGCAUAAAAUCACAGUAUAGCAUUAUACAAUGAUCAAAUAUUUAUAGGAUUAAGAUGGGCAUGCGUGACAUUAGUUAUUUGGCGGGGUAACGGCCCACCAAGACCACGAUGUCUAUGGGAUCUGAGAGGAUGACCCCCCACACUGGUACUGAGACACGGACCAGACGCGUACGGGAGGCAGCAGUAAGGAAGAUUGGUCAAUGGAGGCAACUCUGAACCAGCCAUGCCGCGUGCAGGAAGCCAGCCCUCUGGGUCGUAAACUGCUUUUAUUCGGGAAUAAACCUAUCUACCUGCAGAUAGCUGAAUGUACCGAAGGAAUAAGGAUCGGCUAACUCCGUGCCAGCCGCCGCAGUAA